rnacentral:rRNA from 1 species
CAUGUGGUUUAAUUCGAUGAUACGCGAGGAACCUUACCCGGGCUUGAACUGCAGCAGUCGGAUCCAGAGAUGGUGACUCCCUUCGGGGCUGCUGUGGAGGUGCUGCAUGGUUGUCGUCAGCUCGUGCCGUGAGGUGUCGGCUUAAGUGCCAUAACGAGCGCAACCCCCGUCCCCAGUUGCCAUCGGGUAGUGCCGGGCACUCUGUGGAUACUGCCACCGCAAGGUGUGAGGAAGGUGGGGAUGACGUCAAAUCAGCACGGCCCUUACGUCCGGGGCUACACACGUGUUACAAUGGGGCAUACAGCGAGUCGGUUCAUGGUGACAUGCGCCCAAUCCUUGAAAGUGUCCCUCAGUUCGGACUGGGGUCUGCAACCCGACCCCACGAAGCUGGAUUCGCUAGUAAUCGCGCAUCAGCCAUGGCGCGGUGAAUACGUUCCCGGGCCUUGUACACACCGCCCGUCAAGCCAU